CAUAUUUAGAUAUAAGCAGGACCAGAAUAACAUACCUAGAACAGAUACUGAUUUUCUUGCAUUCAUGUAAUAAUCAUUUAAAAUUCAUAUCUGCUUUACGCGAAUAGAUAUAAACAUAGAGCUAAGUGCUCCUACAAGAUGAAUUUUUAGUAGGCUAAACAGCACAGCUAAAGUCUCUUAUGAACCUCAUUUCCCCAACAUAUCUUUCAUCUCUCUCUCUUUUUGGUUUGUUUCUUGUUUGUUAAGCUAAUGGGUGUAUUAAUUCCAUCCCAAUGUGACUCCAAAUUUUGAAAUUAUAAGGCCCAAAUGAAUUAUUUUUUCUUUGCUCAAAUAGGAUACAUACCUCAUCUGAAGACAAUUCAACAUAUAACAAAAGUUAAUGAACGGCAUUUCACUGCAGUCACAAACCCAUUAAGCAUCAAAUCCAGGCGCUGUGAACAUCAAAGAAGUCAAACUGGGCAACUGGUCUCUCCUGUGCAAUGGGAAAACCUCCUAAUGAAGGGCCAUGACUUUAUUGUUGACACCGAUUCCACUUCAAACUUGGCGUCUGCAAUCUCUGCCAGAAGAUUUUCCGAGGUUGUUUUUAAGUCAUAAAGUUAAAUAACAUGAAAUGUUGUCUCCAUAGUAAAAGAUGCUUUCCUAAAACUGAAGGGCCUCUAGCCAAAAGACCUACAGCCAAAAAGCAGGGUUUGGCUGUGGCCAUCUCUAAGAAAGAAAUGUAGUCAGAUGAUUCAAAGGAAAAUGGGUAAACAAAAAAAAACAAAGCUGCAAGUUUAAAAAGUCAAUACUCAGGAUUGAUGAAAGGAAAGUGGCCUUGGAACACACAGAGGUGACCGCUCCUUCAUGAUGUGUGUGUGUUUUGAUGGAGGCCAGUAUAAUUAGGGAUAUUCAUGAUCCCUGUGGUGCUUUGGUGGGAGGUGGAGGAGGACAGUCAGAGACAGAUGUCUUCCCAGUCUCCAGUGCUGAGCAGAGGAUUUGGUAAAGCAACCGGCAGUGGAUAAAGUGUAGAAAGUACAAAACUAACUCCAGCCCACAAUAGUCAUUCACUUUUUGAUACCACUGAAAUGACGAAGUCAAAAGCAAUCAUGUUUCCCACUUCUAGAAAAAUAUUCAGGUCACAAUUUGUAAAUCUUUUGUUUAAUUUAUAACAAUGAUUAGCAGCAUUUAAAAAUCAACUUUAUUGAGGUUUAAUUUGCAUACAAUAAAAUGUACCCAUUUUCUGUGUGGUCUAAGGAGUUUUGACAAAUGCAAACGCCCAUGUAACCAACACCCAAUCAAGACACAAGUAUUUCCUUCAUUCCACGAAGGUCCCUCAAGGUCUUUUGCUCCCAACCCUCACCCCCACUCUCACAUAACCAUUGAACUACCAUCCAUCACUGCGGAUUAGUUUUACCUCUUCUAGAAUGUCAUAGAAAUGGAAUCAGGCAGUGUCCAGCUAAUUUUGUUCCUUUGUGUCUGGCUUUCUUGCUCAUUGUGUAUUUCAGACGCCUGCUCCUUUUCCUUGAUAAGGGAUAUCCCAUUGUGUGCAUGACCCACAGUCUUCACCCAGCUACCUAAUGAUGAAUGUCUGGGUUCUUUCCAGAUCGAAGCUGUAUAAAUAAACC
rnacentral:lncRNA from 10 species